rnacentral:rRNA from 1 species
UACGUAGGGGGCAAGCGUUAUCCGGAAUUACUGGGUGUAAAGGGAGCGUAGACGGUAAUGUAAGUCUGGAGUGAAAGGCGGGGGCCCAACCCCCGGACUGCUCUGGAAACUAUGUUACUGGAGUGCAGGAGAGGUAAGCGGAAUUCCUAGUGUAGCGGUGAAAUGCGUAGAGAUUAGGAAGAACACCAGUGGCGAAGGCGACUUACUGGACUGUAACUGACGCUGAGGCAUGAGAGCAUGGGGAGCAAACAGG